rnacentral:rRNA from 1 species
AUUGAACGCUGGCGGAAUGCUUUACACAUGCAAGUCGAACGGUAACAGGUUAAGCUGACGAGUGGCGAACGGGUGAGUAAUACAUCGGAACGUGCCCGGUCGUGGGGGAUAACGUAGAGAAAUUUACGCUAAUACCGCAUACGAUCUAAGGAUGAAAGCGGGGGACCGUAAGGCCUCGCGCGAUUGGAGCGGCCGAUGUCAGAUUAGGUAGUUGGUGGGGUAAAGGCCUACCAAGCCGACGAUCUGUAGCUGGUCUGAGAGGACGACCAGCCACACUGGGACUGAGACACGGCCCAGACUCCUACGGGAGGCAGCAGUGGGGAAUUUUGGGCAAUGGGCGCAAGCCUGAUCCAGCCAUUCCGCGUGCAGGAUGAAGGCCCUCGGGUUGUAAACUGCUUUUGUACAGAACGAAAAGGUCUGGGUUAAUACCCUGGGCUCAUGACGGUACUGUAAGAAUAAGCACCGGCUAACUACGUGCCAGCAGCCGCCGUAA